rnacentral:tRNA from 1 species
GGAGUGUGGCUCAGUGGUAGAGCACAUGCUUAGCAUGCACCAGGCCUGUGCUCAAUUCCUAGCACCA